GAUGAACGCUGGCGGCGUGCCUAAUACAUGCAAGUCGAGCGAACAGACGAGGAGCUUGCUCCUCUGACGUUAGCGGCGGACGGGUGAGUAAAACGUGGAUAACCUACCUAUAAGACUGGGAUAACUUCGGGAAACCGGAGCUAAUACCGGAUAAUAUAUUGAACCGCAUGGUUCAAUAGUGAAAGACGGUUUUGCUGUCACUUAGAGAUGGAUCCGCGCUGCAUUAGCUAGUUGGUAAGGUAACGGCUUACCAAGGCAACGAUGCGUAGCCGACCUGAGAGGGUGAUCGGCAACACUGGAACUGAGACACGGUCCAGACUCCUACGGGAGGCAGCAGUAGGGAAUCUGCCGCAAUGGGCGAAAGCCUGACGGAGCAACGCCGCGGGAGUGAUGAAGGUCUUCGGAUCGUAAAACGCUGUUAUUAGGGAAGAACAAAUGUGUAAGUAACUAUGCACGUCUUGACGGUACCUAAUCAGAAAGCCACGGCUAACUAAGU
rnacentral:rRNA from 1 species